AUUGAACGCUGGCGGCAUGCCUUACACAUGCAAGUCGAUCGGUAACAGGUCUUUCGGGAUGCUGACGAGUGGCGAACGGGUGAGUAAUACAUCGGAACGUGCCUGGUAGUGGGGGAUAACUACUCGAAAGAGUGGCUAAUACCGCAUGAGAUCUAUGGAUGAAAGCAGGGGACCUUCGGGCCUUGUGCUACUAGAGCGGCCGAUGGCAGAUUAGGUAGUUGGUGGGAUAAAAGCUUACCAAGCCUACGAUCUGUAGCUGGUCUGAGAGGACGAUCAGCCACACUGGGACUGAGACACGGCCCAGACUCCUACGGGAGGCAGCAGUGGGGAAUUUUGGACAAUGGGCGCAAGCCUGAUCCAGCAAUGCCGCGUGCAGGAUGAAGGCCUUCGGGUUGUAAACUGCUUUUGUACGGAACGAAAAGUCUUGGGUUAAUACCCUGAGAUCAUGACGGUACCGUAAGAAUAAGCACCGGCUAACUACGUGCCAGCCGCCGCAGUAAUAC
rnacentral:rRNA from 1 species